rnacentral:tRNA from 1 species
GCAGAGGUGGUGGAACUGGUAUACACGCUAUCUUGAGGGGGUAGUGAGAAAAUUCUCGUGAGGGUUCGAAUCCCUUCCUCUGCACCA